GGCCCUAUCGUCUAGCGGUCAGGACACCGGCCUUUCACGCCGGUAACCGGAGUUCAAUUCUCCGUAGGGUCACAA
rnacentral:tRNA from 1 species